CCUUCGGGUGGCUGCAGUGAGGAAUAUUGGUCAAUGGGCGGGAGCCUGAACCAGCCAAGCCGCGUGAGGGAAGAAGGUACAGCGUAUCGUAAACCUCUUUUGUCAGGGAACAAAGGCGGGGACUAGUCCCCGGAUGAGGGUAUCUGUAGACAAAGCAUCGGCUAACUCGGUGCCAGCAGCCGCGGUAAUACGGAGGAUGAGGGCGUUAUCCGUAUUUAUUGGGUUUAAAGGGUGCGCAGGCGGCCUGUUAAGUCAGCGGUAAUAGCCCGGGGCUCAACCCCGGCGAGCCGUUGAAACUGGCGGGCUGGAGUUGGAGAGAAGUACGCGGAAUGCGCGGUGUAGCGGUGAAAUGCUUAGAUAUCGCGCAGAACCCCGAUUGCGAAGGCAGCGGACCGGCUCCACACUGACGCUGAGGCACGAAAGCGUGGGUAUCGAACAGGAUUAGAUACCCGUGUAGUC
rnacentral:rRNA from 1 species